UGCCUUCCUGGCUGCAAGAAAUUCACUAAAGGAAGCUUUCUUGGCACAUCGUUCCUCAUGCGGAUGCUUCAAGACAGUGGCUUUCACUACUGAAAGGCAACGAGUACCUGGAAUGCAGGUGGUGCCAUCUUGAAGCAUGAGGUUGAGACCAUGCACUACAGAGCAACCAGGAAUUUUAAAGGUUGAAUUUCUAUGAUUCCGUGCCUGAUCUUUUGUGGUUGAGAGGAGGAACAGAGUGGCUGUCACAGAUUUGGCUCUUCUGUCUGUCACAUGGAUUGAAAGCGGAGCCUCCGGAAUUGGAGACUGCUGGGAGGAUACAGAGAACCAGAAAUAUGGAUUCCAAUGAGAACACCGUGCAGAGUUUCUGUAUUAUUUAUCCAACUUCCAUAUAAUCUGACAAUUUAUCAUCUGGGAUACCACCUUUGUUCAAGCCACUGUCACCUUUUACCUGACAUGGUCACUUGGAUCCCCCUGAAAUUCCAUGAGGAAAUAAGAACUGGAGGCCCAGGGAAGAGAAAUGGAAGAUUGCCUAUUUGAAAACUGCUGUUGUGGCUCAAUAUCUUCACUUUUUCAAUAAGAAGUUUGAGAUUUAGGAAAAGCAAUUGCCUUUGCUUACCCAGCCAGGACUAAAACAAGGAUAUUCUUAUUCAUAUCAGAAGAAAGUUUCCAAUAAAAAGCAUCCCUA
rnacentral:lncRNA from 1 species